AUGGACUGGAGCUGGAGAAUCCUCUACUGGUGGCAGUGGCGACAGGUAAGGGUCAGCCAAGUCCCUGGACACAGGAGAGGAUCAGGACCAGUCACCAUUGAUUUCAUCCACUCUUGUCCCCUCUCUACAGGUGGGCACUCCCAGGUAUUGCUGGUGCAGUCUGGGGCUGAAGUGAGGACACCUGGGGCAUCAGUGAAGAUCUCCUGCAAAGCAUCUGGAUACAGCUUCACUGAUUACCAUAUGCACUGGGUGCGACAGGCUCCUGCACAAGGGCUUGAGUGGAUGGGAAGAAUUGACCCUGAAGAUGGUGCUACAAGCUAUGCACAGAAGUUCCAGGGCAGACUCAUCCUGACAGCAGACACAUCCACAAACACAGCCUACAUGGAGCUGAGCAGUCUGAGGUCUGCAGACACGGCCAUGUAUUACUGUGCAAGGACACAGUGA